rnacentral:lncRNA from 1 species
AAUAAUUCUGCCCCAAGAGGCAAGGAUGAACACUUGAAAAAUGGGAAGAUGGAAAGUCUCAGCAAAGAAAUAUAGGAUAUAAUGAACACUAAUGGGAAAUUUUAGAAGGGAAAAAUACAAUAACCAAAGUAAAAAUGACAAAGGAGAGUCACUGACCUUGAAGAUAGAUCACUAGAAGUUAUGCAAUCUGAGCAACAGACGGUAAAAAGAUUGAAAAACAUAAACAGAGCCUCAGGGAGAGCUGGGACAACACCAAAACGUCUAGCAUUUGUCUCAAUGGAGUCAAAGUGGGAGAGGAGAAAGAAUAUGAUGGAGUAAAAAUAUUUGAAGGGCUGAAAAUUGCCCAAUUUUGUUGAAAAGCUUAAAUUUACAAACUUGAAAAAGUCAGCAAAUUCCAAAGAGGAUAAGCUCAAGGAAAUCCCUGCCCAGACAGAAUAAAGAAACUACUGAGGCUAAAGACCAAGAAAAAUGCCUUCAAAAGAGCCAGAGAAAGAUGACGUAUAACAUAUAGGUACAUGAUGAUUCUAGUGAGUAUGGAUUUCUCAUCAGCUACUACGCAGACCAGAAGAAAGUGGAACAUCUUUAAAGUGCUGAAAGUGAAGAAUUGUCAUCCUAGAAUUCUACAUCCAGUGAAAAUACCCUUUAGGAAUGAAGGUGAAAUAAAGACAUUCUCAGAUGAAGGAAAACAAAAAAAAAAUUUGCUUCUGGCAGGAAGGGAAAUGAUACCAGAGGGAAACUUGAAACAUCAGGAAUAGAUAAAUAGAAAUGGUAAAUAUCUGGGCUAGAAGCUGAUUGCUGCGUGCACCUGUGACCGCCCAGCUGGAGACAACAGACUUGCCUCCUGCUACACCCACCAAGAUAGCAGAUCCACUACCUGCUGUGUCCAUCAAGUGCUGUGCACAGGGCAAUCUUGUGACUAUUGUGGGAGGGACAUUUCAAUCAUAUGUGAAACACCCUCUUUGAGGGUAUACAACCACCCUUAUACCCCCACUUCUUUGGAGUGCUCCGUUCCUUUGUGGAAAGACUGUCCCGGGUUAUAAUCCUAAAAUUUAAGCUCAGAAUAAACUCACCCAAAUUUUCAUUUAUAGAUUCGUUAUGGAUUAUUUUCGUCGACAAUCUAAAAUAGGGAAAAAAAAGUUAAUCUCACACAAAUUAGAAAACAGAGUGAGACAAAGACACUAUAACAUAACCAGUAUGUUUUUACUAAAUUAUUUUUAUUUAUUUUGUUGUGCUUUCUUUAAAGAUUAAAGUUUCUAUGGG